UCUUUAGUUUAAAUUGACUUGACCCUCCCUCCACCAGUGAUACAUUUUGGUUGACCCUCCCAAAUGAUUGGGAAAAAAGGGAUAACCCUCCCCAAUAUUACAUUGGAGCCUUCUAUACGGGUUUGCACUUGGCAAAGAUGUACGAAUGUCCAUUGUUUUUAAACAGCCAUGACAUGCGUAACCAAACCUCUGCAUUCUGAUCUUACGCACCACACUCCACUGUUAUGGUGUGGUGGUCAUUUCAGUAGAUUUACUCACUAACAUUGUUAUGGAAACACAAUAAGCAUGGAAAUUAAAUGCACACUUACUGCAUUA